rnacentral:rRNA from 1 species
GAAAGCGUAAUAGCUCACUGGUCGAGUCGGCCUGCGCGGAAGAUGUAACGGGGCUAAACCAUGCACCGAAGCUGCGGCAGCGACACUAUGUGUUGUUGGGUAGGGGAGCGUUCUGUAAGCCUGCGAAGGUGUGCUGUGAGGCAUGCUGGAGGUAUCAGAAGUGCGAAUGCUGACAUAAGUAACGAUAAAGCGGGUGAAAAGCCCGCUCGCCGGAAGACCAAGGGUUCCUGUCCAACGUUAAUCGGGGCAGGGUGAGUCGACCCCUAAGGCGAGGCCGAAAGGCGUAGUCGAUGGGAAACAGGUUAAUAUUCCUGUACUUGGUGUUACUGCGAAGGGGGGACGGAGAAGGCUAUGUUAGCCGGGCGACGGUUGUCCCGGUUUAAGCAUGUAGGCUGGUUAUCCAGGCAAAUCCGGAUAAUCAAGGCUGAGGUGUGAUGACGAGGCACUACGGUGCUGAAGUAACAAAUGCCCUGCUUCCAGGAAAAGCCUCUAAGCAUCAGGUAACAUUAAAUCGUACCCCAAACCGACACAGGUGGUCAGGUAGAGAAUACCAAGGCGCUUGAGAGAACUCGGGUGAAGGAACUAGGCAAAAUGGUGCCGUAACUUCGGGAGAAGGCACGCUGGUGUGUAGGUGAAGCCCCUGCGGGUGGAGCUGAGACCAGUCGAAGAUACCAGCUGGCUGCAACUGUUUAUUAAAAACACAGCACUGUGCAAACACGAAAGUGGACGUAUACGGUGUGACGCCUGCCCGGUGCCGGAAGGUUAAUUGAUGGG